rnacentral:lncRNA from 1 species
CCAUCAGUGAACACAGAUCACAGAUUCUGUCCUGGGGGAGCUGGCUUCUAGCAGAGGGAGCAGAUGACAAAUGGCAAACAUAGGGAGUGUUAGAAGGGGACAAGGGCCAUGGAUAAAAAGAGAGCCGUGCCAGGGGAGUGUGGGGGACGGGAGUGGGUUACAGCUUUGAAUAGGGUGUCGGGCAGUUCUCCUUGGAAGAAGACCUAUGAGCCAAGGCUCGAGGGGUGAGCGCAUUGGCCACACAGAUCUAUCUGGGGAGGGCAGCCAGGGCAAACGCCCUAAGGUGGAGCUGACUUCGCUUGUUGGUGCGGAGAAGGGCAAUAGGAAAGGGUCAGGGUGUGAGGCCAGGGCAGUUACCGGGCCACUUUACUGGUCUCUACAGGCUAUCUUGAGGACUUUGAUUUUUGCCCUGAAUGAAUUAAGGAACCAUUGUAGGUUUUGAGCACAAGAGUGACAUGAUUUCAUUUUAUUUUGUUAAUUUAUUUUUGUUGAGAGGUAAUUGACAUCUAACAUCGUAUUAGUUUUAGGAGUACAACGUAAUGAUUUGAUCUCUCUCUCUAUAUAUACACAUAUCUUGAAAGGAUUAUCACAGUAAGUUUAGUUGACAUCCAUCACCACGCAUAGUUACAAAAACAAUUUUUUUUUCUCGUCAUGAGAACUUUUAAGACCUCCUCUCUUAGCAACUUUCAAUUAUACAAUACGGUAUUGUUAACUUAGUCGCCACACUGUACAUUCCAUCCUCAGGACUUGCUUAUAACUGGAAGUUUGUCCUUCUUGACCACCUUCACCCAUGACUUAUGUUUCAAAAGGAUCACUCUGUGUGGCUACCUGAGGGAUUCAAACCCCAGCUCUGCCUCUCUGUCGCGGCAUCCCUGGGCGAGACAGUUUGCCACUCAGCUUCAGUUUCCUCUUUGUAAAAAAGCAGAUUAAGACUAUGUGUCUAACAGAUCCUUGGCAGACGUUCCUGUCUGCUUUCGGGCCUAAGAAUAGCCAUCCUUCGGAGCAGUUGGGCCACUUCAGUCUCGUGAACACAGUGGCUGCGUUUCUCACGCCUGCUGGAGGCCGGGAAGCUGAACGCCGAGCUCAUGCCCUGCCUGCUCGAACGUGGGAUGGCACCUUCAUCCCAUGGUGGAACACAGACCCUAAAGGAAGUGAACACUUGGCUUUUGAGGUUUGGGUGUUAGCAACACAUCUGGAAGAAUUGAUGAAGAGUCGAGCACCCCAGAUGCCAGACCAGACAAGGAGUAUUCUAAUGGAGAGCAGAUGGAGAGAGAGGAGCGUGGGUGAGGAACUGUGGGUGCUGCAAAGGGGCCCCCUCAUCGCCCACCCUUCCUCUCUCCCCC